GCAGCGAGAAACAGGCCUGGAGAUGGCGCUUCUGGGUCGGCGUGAGGUACCGGGACGGGGGCGGCCGGAUCCCCCAGGCCUGGGGCUACCCCUCCCCCACAUCCCCUUUCCCCCUUACCGACCUCUCCGGGCGGUGGGGGAAAGGGAAAGGCGAGGAAGGCUCGGCUGGGUUGUCGCCCCGCUUCCCGGGCGGGCGGGGCCCCGGAGGGGAGCGAGGGCCGAGAAGGAGCCGAAUUUGAACCGGAUCUCUCGGUAAACAGAGAUCACCACCGGGGCCUGAGCCACCUGGGACGCAGGGGGUACGGAGGGCGGGGGCGAGCGGAGACAGUCAGCCAAUCCGCCGAGCUGCGGGUGAGGCGAGAAGCUGAGUCCCACGGGCAUUGAAUUAUCCACACACACCCCCAACCCCCGGGAAGGGAGCCGGGCGGGGUGAAUGCCGCCCCGCCCCGCCCCGCUGACGCCCACGCACCUGCCGGCUCCUGCGCACGGCUGGGACCAGUGGACUGCAGUCCCGGGCGAGGCCAGGGGCCGUAGGCAAGGCAUGGAAAUAGCGCCCCACGGCCUGAGAAGCUGAGGGUUUGUGUUCCUAGGGGACGCAGCUGAGGACCAGGUAAGUCUCGGAUAUCAAAGCGCAGACCUCCACUGAGUGCCUGCUCUCUGCUCAAAUAACAUGACCUCAAGAACAAAGAGGAGGAGGAACCCCUCACUAUGAGGACUUGUGAUGUGCCAGGCACAUAUUUUUUAUAUGUUAUCUUUUAAACAUGUUAAGGAGCCCUGAUGGCGCAGUGGUUAAAGCCAUCUACUGCUAACCGAAAGGUCGGCGGUUGGAAACCACCAGACGCUCCGCGGGAGAAAGAUGUGGCUAUCUCCUUCCGUAGAGAUUUACAGUCUUGGAAAUGGGAUCGCUAUGAGUCCAGUCGACUGACGGCAGUGGGUUUAGUUUUGGUUUUAAACAUGUUAUCUUUUCAUCUUCACAAUAACUCUAUGAAGACGGUGCCAUCUCCGUUUUAAGGAUGAAGUAACUAAGGCCCAGAGAGGUUAGGUGAUUUACCCAAAGCCACCCAGCUAAAAACUGGUAGAAAUAUUCGAACUUGGGUCAGUUCAACUGCAGGACCACACAGGGAGAACACACCUGGGACUGACAUUGAAUUUGCUAUAGUUGAGAGAAGUGGUCUGGAGAUGGCUUGAUAGGAAACUGCUCUAAAAUGGGCAAAGCUUUUGCAGGGCUUGGGAUUCUAAGAAAGGGGUCACUGGGAGUAGAAAAGGAUUCCUUUUACGGUGCAGACAGUUAAGAGCUGACUGCUAACUGAAAGCUUGGAGGUUUGAGUCCACCCGUAAGUGCCUCAGAAGAAAGGCCUGUCAGUCUACAUCUGGAAAAUCAACUCCAGGGAGCACAGUUCUACUGUGACACACUUGGGGCUGCCAUAAGUCAGAAUCAACUCCAAGGCAACGGAUUGGGUUUUAUUGGUUUGGGGGAGAAAAGAUCCUUUCGAUCAGAAUCUCUAAAGAUUUUUGAAACAGAUUUUCAAGAGAAUUGAACCCAGAUAUUGAUUUCUUGAAAAACUUUAGAAAAAAGGAUCCUUUUUAUAGGUUAAUGUUAUGAGUCGGAAUCAACUUGACCGCAACAGGUUCGAUCUGGUUUAUUGCUCCAGCUAUUUAAAUCAAGAGGUUUGGUCUUUGGUUUAAUUAUUAAACUAUCAUAAAAUUUAGCAACUCAAGGUUGGAGAUGUAUCAGUUGAGAACCACAUGAUGGCAGUGUUUCCUAAUUGUUGAGAAAGCAUCUUUGAGUAAAGAAAAAGUUUCUUCAGUGAGAAACUAAACCUAAAAGGCACAGCAUGACCUUUGAUGGUUUCCAUUGCCUAUUGGGGAAAAAAAAAAAAAAGAAAAGAAAUUUCUCUACUUGGUGUAUAAGGCCUUUCACAGUGAAAAGGAGACCAUGCUACCUUUCCAUUCCCUUUCCCUCCUCCCUUCUGGGCCCUCCCAUCAGCCAUUAGCUUCUCACCUGCUCCAGGAACCCACCAGGCUUUUUCUCACUCCUGAAUCAUUGCAUAUGCCAUGCUGUCUGCUUGAAAUGCCCAAGAUGGGGUACAGGAGCCCAUGAAAGCUUAAGGGCCUGCCACGUACACACUAAGAAAGUGGCCCCACCGGUUUCUCCAGCAAGGGAUAGUGUUUGUGAAAGGGCACCAGGAAGGUGGAGCCAGCAGGUUCUCAGCCACCCCAGAGUGCCAUUCUGGGAACUUCCUGAGAAGGCUGGUGGAGGACUCUGCUCCCAACUGAAUGAGGCCACUCAGAUGACUCCCUCUGGGCGGUGAAGUAGAAAUGUAGGGUGUCUUAGUUUCUUAGUGCUGCCAUAACAGAAAUAUCACAAGUGGGUGGUUUUCAAGAACAGGAAUUUAUUUUCUCACAGUUUAGGGAGCUAGAAGACUGAGUUAAGGGUGCCAGCUCUAAGGGAGGGCUCUCUCUGUCAGCUCUGGGGGAAAAUCCUUGUCUCAGCUUCUCUAAUGUUCUUGGCAUUUCUUGGAGAUCUCCACAUGGCAUCUAUCUUUCCGCAUUUAUCCUUGCUUUCUCUGUGCCUAAUCUGAUCUUUUAUAUCCCAAAAAGUAUUUUGUCUAAGACACCCUACACGACAUGGUCUCGUUAACAUAACAAAGAUAUCCCUGUUCCCAAACCAAAACCAAACCCAGUGCCAUCGAUUCCGAGUCGAUAACGACUCAUAGCGACCCUGUAUGAGUCCCUAUACCCAGAUGAGAUUAAAUCCACAGGUAUCCAUUAAAAAAAAAAAAUUGCCUCCAUUCUGACUUAUAGCAACCCAGACCGCCCCAUAGGGUUUCCAAGGGACAGCUGGUAGAUUCAAACUACUGACCUUUAGGAUAGCAGCUGAGUUCUUAACCACUGCAUCACCAGGGCUCCAUCCACAGGUAUAGGGGUUAGAAUUUACAGGACACAGUUUUAGGGGACACAGUUCAAUCCAACACACAGAGCAAAUAAGAGACUGGUCCCUCUGGGUCUGGAAGUUGUCCCAAAUGAUGCCGAGUACUUUUUGAGGAUACGUAUCACCUUUUCUUAUGAAUCCAGAAAGGCUUCCCAGAGCCUGGGACUGGAGUGAUUGGUUGUGAAAGGGCACAUUUCUCUUCUACCUCAUGUUCCCUAUUUUCUUAGCCAAAAUUACCAUUACUAUACAUCUUUUUGGAAACCCUGGUGGCAUAGUGGUUAAAAUCUAUGGCUGCUAACCAAGAGGUCAGCAGUUUGAAUCCAUCAGGUGCUCUAUGGAAUUCCUUUGGGGCAGUUCUACUCUGUCCUAUAGGGCUGCUAUGACUUGAAGGCAACAGGUUUGGUUUGGUUUUUUUACAUCUUUUGCUGGAACCCUCCUGGUGCAAUGGUUGAGUGCUCAGCUGCUAGCCGAAAGGUUGGUGGCUUGAACCCACCAGCAGCUUCAAGAAAGAGAAGACCUGGUGGUCUGUUCUCACCAAGAUUGCAGCCUAGGAAACCCUAUGGAGCAAUUCUACUCUGUCCUAUAGGGUCACUAUGAGUUGGAAUCGACUUGAUGGCACACAACAAUACAUCUUUUGGAGUCCCUAGGUGGUGCAAAGGGUUGAGCACUCCACUGCUAACCAAAAGGAAGCCCUGGUGGCAUAGUGGUUAAGUGUUAUGGCUGCUAACCAAAAGGUCAGCAGUUCAAAUCCACCAGGUGCUCCUUGGAUACUCUAUGAGGCAGCUCUACUCUGUCCUACAGGGUCGCUAUGAGUCAGAAUCAACCUGAUGGCAACGGGUUUGGUUUUGGUUAACCAAAAGGUUUAUGGUUCAAGUCAACAGGAGAAAGACUCGGCAACCUACUUCCAAAAAAUCAGUAAUCGCAUGUCUACGAACUAGGCCUACAGAAGUGAACAGAGACAAAAAAAGCCCUGCCUUUGUAGAGCUUAUGUUUUAGUGGGUGACAGAUAAUAAACAAAAUGGAUUAGUAAAAUAUGUAUCAUGUCACAUGGUGAGAAGUAAGUGCUGUGGGGAAAAAAGGCCCACUUUAGGGACGUGAGAUAGCAUCAGUUCUUAAUAGGGUGUCAAGAAAGGUCUGACUGGAAAGUGAUACCUGAGCAAGAGUUGAAGAAGGGGAGGAGCUCUGGGAGGAAGAGCGCUCCAGGCAGACGGCACAGCAGGUGCAAAGCCCUGUGAUGGGAGAUCUGGCGUGUGCAAGGAUCAUCAACUUGCUGUCCUAUAAAGGAGUGAGCUCGUUGGGAGAGGAGCAGGCCAUCCCUGCCUCCAAGUAGCGGUUAAGUGUUAACCAAAGUUUCCUCUAACACUGUGGAAAACAAGUGAUACUGAUCCAAGCCUGUCAAAUAAGAUGAAGGAUGGCGCCAGCUACCCCCUGGGCUGAUGGGAUAAUGGCAGGAAAAGAUCAACAUGUUUGAGAUAGGACCACUGAAACCAAACAGAAGAAAGAGAGUGCACAUUCCACAAGUCCCUAAAACUUAUGGCCCAUUUUCCCUUAAAAACCCGAGCCAAUCGGUAGUCUGGUGAGACGAGAUCGUUCCCCUCUGUCUCCAUUUACCCGUAUAUCUAAUAAAGCUCUUGCUACCCACCUCACCCCUGUCAGAAGAAUUGGCUAUUUGCGGCAGGCGGCUCUAAGUCGCGAAAUUGGGGUAACAGUUUGGUGGCCCUUACGGGGACUCCAGCCGUUUGAGACGCCGUGGCCCCGCGGCAGGGCCAGGGCCCGAUCGACAGUUCUCCUACCAAGCGGCCGCUCGGGACUCUGUCCCCGGAGGCUGUCCCCAGACCCGGGCUCCCCUGCAGCGCCACCGGUCCCCAACCGCGCCAAAGAGAUGGGUGAAGGCAAGACCUAACCAGGAUCCUGAGACACGACUCCAGCAACACGCUUGAUUGCUUCCCACUUUUGCUGUUUUAAAAAAUACGAACCAGUAAAAAGACUGAAGUGGCUAUUGAAGAGACAAAACAAAGACCGAGAUGGGUCCAACUUCUCAUGAUCCCAUCCAGUAUUGAGGAUGGUGACAAGAAGUGGCAGCACCGAGAAGGCUCAGUGGAUGGCAGUGUAGCCCGUCAUAACAUCCCCAGAAGGAAGGGAAGGUCAUCGGCUGAGUCACAAGCCCUUCAGACGAGCACGAGCAGCGCACACAUUGGCAGCACAAAUCAUCUGUUAGUUGUUUCCAGCUGCAGGUAAGAGAUUCUACUGAACUUGGCUUAACCGAUAAGGAAAUACAUUUUAUCAUUUAUCAAGAAAACUAGAAGUAGGAGUACUCCAAAGACCGAACAAUCCAUGCUCAGCAACAUCAUCAAGAAAUCGAGUUUUCCCAUAUUUCCCGUCUGUCAUCCUCAGUGUUGCAGCUUUUUCCUCUUCAGGUGGCAACAAGGCUGUAGCCAUUUCAGAUACGGCAUCCAGAUAUAACAACGUAUAGCAGAAAAGGAGCACAUCUCUUGCAGCGUGGCCCCCUUUGCAGUAAGGAAAUCUUUUCCUGCAGCCCCCAGCAGUGAGCUCCUCACCCACGGCCAGAACUGGACCACAAGCCCCUGAUUAAGCCAUUCGCUCACAAGGGGGGUGGAACCACAUGAUUGACUACUCCUACCAGGCUCUGCUUCCGGGACUGGGGCUGGAGAUGGCUCAGCUGAAGCACGUCACUAUCUGGAGUGGGUUGGAUUGCUAAACAUCAUUUAGGGUCCACUAGGAAGGAGAAGUCCCUGGGUGAUACAGAUGGUUAAAUUCCGAACGACUAAUUAAAAGGUUGGCAGUUCAAACCCACACAGAGGUGCCUCGAAAGUAAGGCCUGAUGAUAUGCUCCUGAAAGGUCACAGCCUUGAAAAGCCUGUGGAGAAGGUCUGCUCUGCUUUCUUGAGGUCACCGUGAGUUGGAAUUAACUCGACGGCAACUAACAACAACCACCACAACCGAAAGGAGAAGGGUCCCUGGAUGGCGCAGAUGGUUUGCUCUCAUCUACUAAUCUAGUGGUUAGCAGUUCAAACCCACCCAGUGGUGCUUUGAAACAAAGUCCUGGCAAUCUGCUUCCAUAGAGACUACUGCCAAGAAAACCCUAUGGAGUAUUCUACUCCGUAACACACGGGCUUGCCAUGAAUAAGAAUCCACUCAACAGCAAUGGGUUUAGGAAAGAAGGAAAAGGUAGAACCAAUGUUGUGUAGGAAACCAGAGUCUUGGCUAAGCCACCUAUGAACUGCCCACUGGUGCCCGAAUGGACUUGGAGGUUGGAACACAGAAGGUUAUUCUGGAGGGCCCAUAACUGGGACGCUCAUUUUUUGUUGUUAUUGUUCAUUACUAUUAAUGUGAUUUGUUCUGAUUUUUACCACCAAUUCACCCACCACCACCACCACCACCACACACACACACACACACACACACACGGUGCAGGAAGAACCACCUACGGUAUUGUAGAAAACCUGGCAUAAUAAGGUCUGCAAUGAAGUGGGCAUCAACAUAACAGCAAUAAGUAAAUGCAUGUGUCUCCCCUGCAGUCUGGAUAACCACAGCUUCAUCGUAACUAGUCUCCCUGCUUCAGCUGGCCCCAUGCAAUCCAUUGUCCUUACUGCAGCCAGAGCGAUUUUUUCCAAUUUAAAUUUAAUCUGACCCACAAAAACUGCCCUCAGGACCAAGCCCAGACUCCUUAGCCAGGAGCACCAGGCCCUUUAUGAUCUGAUCAAGCCUGAAAAUCAAGUCUUCAAAUUUCUCUCUUGUAUCCUCAGCUCCAGCCCCACUAGAGGAGUAAAUGACUGAAGUUUGAAUAGACAGGACAUGGCUAGAACUUGGCUGUAGCAUCACACCAGUAAAUUCUGAGAAGGCAUUGGAUGAGCUUCAGCAGUCAUUUUCUAAUUUAAUAAAAAUUAUAAUGGGAAUAUAAGGAAACUUUUUAAGGUUAAUAAAGGCUAUUUCUCAAAAAAGGCAAAUAUUUUUUAAAAUAAUAUUGUGCUUUCAGUGAAAAUUUACACAGCAAAUUAGGUUCCCGUUUGACAAUUUCUACACAAAUUAUUCAGUGACAUUAGCUACAUUUUUCACAAUGUGUCAACGUUCUCUUUAGUUUCGUUCUGGUUGUUCAAUUUCCAUUACUCUUUUUCCCUGCCCUCUUAUCUUCUCAUCUUUGCUUUAGAGUACUUGUUGACCUUUGGUCUCAUAUAGAUGGUUUUUUAAUAGAGCACCGUGUGCACAGGUAAUAUUCUUUAUUUUGUGUGCCAGUCUGUUUUGUCACUAAAAGGUGACCUCAGAGGAUAAUUUUGGAUCAAGGUUUUAAAGAGUAUCUCAGGGGAAUUUUUUUUUUUUUUUUUUUCAGGGGAAUAGUCUCAGGAAGCUCUCCAGUCACAACUGGUCCAGUAAAUCUGGACUUGUUAAGAAUCUGAGUUCUGUUCCACAUUUUUAUAUCAGGGUCCAUCCAUUGUGGACCUGAUCAGAAUGGUUGGCAGUGAUAGCCGGGCACCAUCUGGUUCUUCUGGUCUCAGCGUAGAUGAGGACAUGGCUUGUGUAGGCUCUUAGCCCUGUAGAUUAAUUUCUUCUUUGAGACUUUGGUUUCCUUCAUUUACUCCUGGUAACUAGAGGCCAAUAGUUGUGUAACCUGACCCUUUGAAUGCCAGUAAAUAUCCCUUUGUCCUUAAACUACCCCAAGCUAGAUUUGACCUGUCCUGAAUGCGCAGAAGGGCCUGCUGUGACCGAUAAUUGACCUCAACAGAGGAAGCAGCAACAGGUGGAAUGAAUCAGAAGAAAAACCAUCACUUGGACCCUAUUCCAAAGUGAGAGGUCUGACGAGAACCACAUCACUUCCUGUUUCCUGGCCGCCUUCUAGAAUUUGCCCUCUCUAUUUCUUUUUUUUUUUUUUAUUUCUUUAGUGUUGGGUUAGUAUGUCUGCUUGGCCACCCUCUUGCCCAAAUCACAUAUAAGCCCUGUUUCCCCCAUAGCUCGGGGAGUAGGAACUGAGGAACUUCCUCCCAGCUCCUUGCUCUGCACAUUGCAAUAAAGUUACUUUCUCUUUCUCAAAGACCAGUGUCCAGAUUAUUGGAAAGUCUGAACGCCAGACAAGGACCCACCUUCUAGGGUUCGGUAACAGUUGUAUCUUAGAUGGCUGCUCAAAAGCUUUUGAGACCCCAGGCGCUACUCACCUUAUUAGGGAAAGGCAAAUAAACAGAAAAAAAACUAAAUCUAUUUCAUUAAAAAGAGUAAACAGGGAUGCCCACUGUCACCAUUAUUAAUAUUGUCUAGAGGUUCUAGUAAGUACAAAAAAACAAUGUAAAAAGAUACAAGAGGCUCUAGUUUUAAAAAUUAUCAGAAUUAAUAAGAAAAUUUGGCAUUAACUUCCAUUUCUACCAAUGUUGUUAUUGCUAGGUGUUACCAAAUCAGCCCAGUCUCAGGCUGACCCCAUGCACAACAGAAGAAAACGCUGCCUGAUCUGUUGUGAUCCAUAGAAUUUUCAUUGGCUGAUUUUCAGAAGUAGAUUGCCAGGCCUUUCUUUCUACUCCAUCUUAGUCUGGAAGGUCUGCUGAAACCUGUUCAGCGUCAUAACAACAUGCAAAACUACCACUGAUAGAUGGGUGGUAUCUACACAUGAGAUACAUUGGCUGAAAUGAAACCUGGUGUCCCACAUGGAAGGCAAGAAUGCUACCACCAAACCACCACUGCCCCUGAUUUCCUGAAGAGCCCUUCUAACGUAGGACUCUGAUGGGGGCUCAAACACUGUAAAAAUGGUGUGGGGGCAGAGUCUGACCUCCUUUAACUUCACAAGGGGAAGAAGAAUCAAGAUCAACAGCAUAAGGCUGAUUGCUAUGAGGCGGAGGUCAGACAUG